rnacentral:rRNA from 1 species
GACGAACGCUGGCGGCGCGCUUAACACAUGCAAGUCGAACGGAAAGGCCUGCUUUCCCUUGUGGAUUGCGGGUACUCGAGUGGCGAACGGGUGAGUAACACGUGAGUGAUCUGCCCCCAACUUGGGUAUAAGCCUGGGAAACUGGGUCUAAUUCCCGAUAGGACUGCAGGGUGGUGCCUGUGGUGGAAAACGAUUUUCUAGUGGUUGGGGAUGAGCUCGCGGCCUAUCAGCUUGUUGGUGGGGUAAUGGCCUACCAAGGCGGCGACGGGUAGCCGGCCUGGGAGGGUGGACGGCAACAGUGGGACUGAGAUACGGCCCAGACUCCUACGGGAGGCAGCAGUGGGGAAUAUUGCGCAAUGGGCGGAAGCCUGAUGCAGCGACGCCGCGUGGGGGAUGACGGCCUUCGGGUUGUAAACUCCUUUCGACCGCGAGGAAGCCACCUGGUUGGAAGGGUGGUGACGGUAGUGGUAGAAGAAGCACCGGCUAACUACGUG